AAAAGACACUUAGAUAAAAAAAAGUAAACUUUUGGGUUGACCUAGUUUCAGGUUUGGAAGGUUUUCAUUUUUUGUUGAAAAAAAGUAAAAUAAAGCGUAAAAAACGUAAAAAAAUCUGAAAACUUUUGCGUCUUAAAACAAAAAAUUGUUCUGCUCAGUGAGUGAGUGAUGUAGGGAUAGAGAGAGAUAGUAAGAAGCAGAGUCUCAUUUGAAAAACAUCAGCAAAAAAUAGUGACUCUAAUGACUCAUUCAAAUAGUGAAUCAUUAAACAAACUGACCAUUUUUUAAUCAACAAAAUGAAUAGACAUUUGAUAAAAGAUUUGAUUCAAGUUAUGUUUUGAAAAGAUCACAUGGUUCUUGAGGGAUUUUAUGUUAAUUUAAGUGAAAAGUGUUUUUAAUUGAUCUCCCCUAAUCUUUUUUAAACCUGAAGCGUUUCUUAUCCAAACCAGAUGACAAAAAGUGUAACCCUAUUGAUAAUAUUUGCCGAUUCUUUGGAUAGAUUCAACCAAAUGAUUUUUAGGUUAAAUUGUCCUUGAUUUUGCUUUUAGUGAUUUAGUUUCUUUCUUUAAGUUUUCCACUUCUUCCUUCAACUGCAAACAAUGCUGUCUCCAAAUGGAAUAAGAAGAAUAGGAAAAAAGUAGAAUAAAAAGUCAAAGGCAACACAUCUCAACCAAAAGGGGAAUUUAAUGACGAUUUGAAUCUUUAUCAGGCCUUCCUCAAUGGUUACAUUUUGCUCCAAGUCCCGUUAUUAUCAGCGAUUACUUGCAAGUUAUCUUAUCAAUCGGAAACAAACAAUAUAACUUUCUUUAUUUCUCCAAUGAUUUUGGCUUCGAUAUAAACUCACUUGGUGUUUAUUUUCAUCAGCAAAUAGGCGAUUAUAUUUGCAUCCAAGAAAUAUUUCUUUCUGAUAUUACAUUGAAUGGAGACUCAAUGAGGCCAUUAUAACUUUCCAAUGAACUCCAGUGUUUAAUUUUUCUAUUUUUUGGCAAACUAACAUUUCAAUUGUCUCAUCGCAAAUGCUGAUUAAGAUCAAAUCUUCUGAUUAGAGUGAUAGGUAAACUAAGUUGAAAAUAAUUGCAGAGGAUUGAAAAAGUACCCGUAUUUUAAUAAGAUUACAUUUACUUUUUAAACAAUCGAAAGGCUUACUCGCUUGUAUCCAUCAAUCAGUUUCAUAGAUAUAAUCAAUAGGAUGAUCGAGUCUAUGCAGCAUAAUGAGUUGAAAAGCAAAGAGGAUGAACACACAAAAAAUAAGAAACGGUUGUGAGAAGACGAUAAUUACAAGAGGUUAGUCAUUAACAAAAAUAUUCGUUUUUCUCAAAGAAAAUGGGAGAUUUUUUCUCUUCCUUCGGACAUCAUGGGGAGUUUAUAAUAACUUGAAGAGCAAAAAAAAAGAUGCUAAAGAAAGGAAUGGCUAGGAACUGAAGAUGACGGUUUAAAGAUUUUAACAAUGCCAAGCAAUGCCGAUGCUUUUAAACAAAAAGUUGCAGAUCAGUUUGAAGGGUCCGGCUAAAUUUAGCAAGCGGGUUCACCGUAAAGGAUGUUAGAAGCUAGUAAGAGACGACUUUAUUGUAACAUUUGGCUCAGAUGGUUGAAAGGACACACAAACAGCAAUACAAAUCAUGGGUACCAACUAAAAUAUGACUGGACAUUCAAGGGUCGGUUACAAUUAACACUGGCAAAUCCGCAUAACAAUUUUAAUUGUUAACUCUUAUUUUUAACUGCAACUCUAACUGCUCUUACUAUCUUUAUUCCAACUCUCCUAAAGGUCGAAAUAGAUGUACUUUUAUAUCAGAUAAAAGGGCUUCAUUAUUAUAAACCAGUGCAUAUUACCAUUUAUAUAUUAUUGACUGAAGGAAAAGAAGUUUUAAUCGGUAACAAUUAAAACCUUUUGAAAAAUUUUGAAAUAGUUGAAUCGAUUGAUGAUAAAGUAGCUCUUGCUGGAACCCGAAAAACAACUCCUGGUUUCAGAAUAGUUGAAAAGGAUAUUCAACAAUUGAUUCUCAAUGAAAUUUGAAAAAUUCAAAGAUUCGUAAAAGCGAAAACAUCUGUGGCUACAGUUUAGGUGAA